CAGUAGCCGCGGUAAUACGUAGGUGGCAAGCGUUGUCCGGAAUUAUUGGGCGUAAAGCGCACGUAGGCGGCUUUGUAAGUUAGAGGUGAAAGCCUGGGGCUCAACCCCAGGAUUGCCUUUAAGACUGCAGAGCUAGUAGGUGAGAGAGGUGAGUGGAAUUCCGAGUGUAGAAGUGAAAUUCGUAGAUAUUCGCAAGAACACCGGUGGCGAAGGCGGCUCACUGGUCCGGAGCUGACGCUGAGGCACGACAGCGUGGGGAGCAAACAGGAUUAGAUACCCCAGUAGUCCCUGUCUCUUAUAC
rnacentral:rRNA from 1 species